rnacentral:rRNA from 1 species
UACGUAGGGUGCAAGCGUUGUCCGGAAUUAUUGGGCGUAAAGGGCUCGUAGGCGGUCUGUCACGUCGGGAGUGAAAACUCAGGGCUUAACCCUGAGCCUGCUUCCGAUACGGGCAGACUAGAGGUAUGCAGGGGAGAACGGAAUUCCAGGUGUAGCGGUGAAAUGCGUAGAUAUCUGGAGGAACAUCGGUGGCGAAGGCGGCAUCCUGGACCGGUAUUGACGCUGAGGCGCGAAAGCCAGGGGAGCAAACGGG